AGGCCUGUAUGUACAUGGUGCUAUAUAAAGUGGCUACCUACAAGCAACCUAAAUGUUGUUCUUUGCAGAAGGUUAAUAAAAAUAACAGCUCUGUUAAAAAUAGGGACAAGGGACCUCCUAUGGACAGCAUCAGACCUGGGAUUGGGGAGGAGCAGAUCUAUACAAAUAUACUAAUGUCCUCUGCUUUUCCCUGUCUGUGUGACUUUGCCCCGGGGGCAGUGUUGCUGAACAAGAGGAGUCGGUGGCUGGCUCCUCCGAGAAGGACUUCUCUUGGGAGGUGUCCAACAGCGAGUCUGUACCAGGGUCUUCGUUCUCCUUUGCCAUCUCUUUUGACUCUGCCUGGUGAGCCUUGUCACAGGGAGCAGAUGGAGGCUCGACCCCGUCCUGGCUCAGCUGGGUGUCCUGCUCCUGUGCCAGCCUGCAGCUCUCUAAGCCAUUCCCUGGGCGUUCGUUGUCCUGCUCCUCUGAGACAGACCCAUUGA
rnacentral:lncRNA from 1 species